rnacentral:lncRNA from 1 species
CUAAAGAUAUUGAGCCACGACCAAGUGCCACAUUCUACCCAAAUGAUGAGAGCAAGGACAGGUUUUUUACUAAAGAUAUUGAGCCACGACCAAGUCUCACAUUCUACCCAAAUGAUGAUACCAAGAACAAGCUUUUUACUAAAGAUAUUGAGCCACGACCAAGUGCCACAUUCUACCCAAAUGAUGAGAGCAAGGACAAGUUUUUUAUUAAAGAUAUUGAGCCACGACCAAGUGCCACAUUCUACCCAAAUGAUGAUACCAAGAACAAGCUUUUUACUAAAGAUAUUGAGCCACGACCAAGUGCCACAUUCUACCCAAAUGAUGAGAGCAAGGACAGGUUUUUUACUAAAGAUAUUGAGCCACGACCAAGUGCCACAUUCUAUCCAAAUGAUGAUACUAAGAACAAGCUUUUUACUAAAGAUAUUGAGCCACGACCAAGUGCCACAUUCUACCCAAAUGAUGAUGCAAACAAAAAGUUUUUUACUAAAGAUAUUGAGCCGCGACCAAGUGUCACAUUCUACCCAAAUAAUGAUAGCAAGAACAAG